GCAGUCGAACGGCAGCGCGGGGCAACCUGGCGGCGAGUGGCGAACGGGUGAGUAAUAUAUCGGAACGUACCCAAGAGUGGGGGAUAACGUAGCGAAAGUUACGCUAAUACCGCAUACGAUCUAUGGAUGAAAGCAGGGGACCGCAAGGCCUUGUGCUCCUGGAGCGGCCGAUAUCUGAUUAGCUAGUUGGUGAGGUAAAGGCUCACCAAGGCGACGAUCAGUAGCUGGUCUGAGAGGACGACCAGCCACACUGGAACUGAGACACGGUCCAGACUCCUACGGGAGGCAGCAGUGGGGAAUUUUGGACAAUGGGCGCAAGCCUGAUCCAGCAAUGCCGCGUGAGUGAAGAAGGCCUUCGGGUUGUAAAGCUCUUUUGUCAGGGAAGAAACGGUGGGGGCUAAUAUCCUCUACUAAUGACGGUACCUGAAGAAUAAGCACCGGCUAACUACGUGCCAGCAGCCGCGGUAAUACGUAGGGUGCAAGCGUUAAUCGGAAUUACUGGGCGUAAAGCGUGCGCAGGCGGUUUUGUAAGUCUGUCGUGAAAGCCCCGGGCUCAACCUGGGAAUUGCGAUGGAGACUGCAAGGCUUGAAUCUGGCAGAGGGGGGUAGAAUUCCACGUGUAGCAGUGAAAUGCGUAGAGAUGUGGAGGAACACCGAUGGCGAAGGCAGCCCCCUGGGUCAAGAUUGACGCUCAUGCACGAAAGCGUGGGGAGCAAACAGGAUUAGAUACCCUGGUAGUCCACGCCCUAAACGAUGUCUACUAGUUGUCGGGUUUUAAUU
rnacentral:rRNA from 1 species